rnacentral:lncRNA from 1 species
AGGCCUUUAGAUCCUUCAAUCCUGUCUGCAUCUCCUCCAUUGUGGGCCCAGUUCGCAGUUCAAUGAUUGGCUCUGAGCAUUCACCUCUGUAUUUUUCACUCUCUGGAAGGCCUUCAAAGAAAACGGUAAUAUCAGUAUCCUGUUCACUAUUCACUCCUUCGCAUCAAAAAUAUAACGGCGUUUGGUGGCUGUAUGUAUAUGGACAAGAUCCUCAGUUGGAGGAGGCUAUCCAGGGCCAUACCUUAAGUGUCUACUCUAAAUUUUGCCUUCAUAUAACUUCCCUGCAAUAUUUUUGAUCCUGCUUCUAAAAGGACUGAGGCAUCCACACUUUUGUCAUCGUUCUUCUUGAACUUCCUUUGGUCUGUGGAAUGUAUCUUCAGUAAUCAUGAUUUUGGGCUUAUAUCCAUUUAACAACCAUUGUACAAUGUGCUGUUUUUUU